GACUCUGUAGUUCAGCGGUAGAACGUCAAACUGUUAAUUUGGUUGUCGGGGGUUCAAAUCCCUCCAGAGUCG
rnacentral:tRNA from 1 species